CCAAUUGAACGAAAUGUGCCAC
rnacentral:piRNA from 1 species